AGCAGCAGCAGUCACCUACCUAGGCUGCAGCUAUCAGCAAGGCCAGCCCAGAGAAAGAAAGGCAACAAUAGACCAACAAAGAUGCCAUAGGCCACGCCUUCCUGCUUUAUCCUCCUCCAGUAUCCCUUCAUUCUCCUUCUCCUCUUUCCUCCCCUCCCAAACUCCUUCCUUCCCUCAUUCCUCCACUUUCAUCUCUUUGCUAUUUCUAGAAAGAAUCUUUUGUCUUGCUAGGCAGACCAUUUAUAACAAAGGAAAGACAGGAGGCGUAGAUGAUGAAGCAGAGUAGAGCACUUUUAACUGCAAGAGUGUUAGGAUAUGAACACUGCUGUUAGGAUAGAAAAGAGAAAAUCCUCAGAGUAUGUAUGCUGGAUUGUUUAGAGGGGAAAAGUCUUUCUAUGGAAAUCACCUAUAAAACAGUUCAGAAAUGGAAAUAAAGCUAUUUUGCUGCAAGUAGCUUUUUAUUUUUUCUUCCAGAAAUAACACACAAAUGUCCCCAGGCACUUUUCACUUAGCCCACUGUUCAUGGCUCCUUUCCCAGACUCAGGUGCUUCUCUUUUCCCAUUGCUCCCAGACAUCCAUUUGCCCAUUGACAUUCUACCUCCAUUGCCAAGGCCAGAGAACAUAAUGCGUGCUCACUCUUCCACUUAGCUCCUUUAGGCUCUGUCCUUGUCUGGCUGAGUCUGACAAAUGGACGGGCAGCCCUGCCACCCUGAUUGCUCGGUCAUCUGAACCACAGUUUCUGAUUUCUGCAUGAUGGAUCUGGCUGUGGCUGGUCCAGAGAAUUGGAAAGAAAAAAUAAUUAUAAAAUAAAUUUAAUAGUUCUCCUUGGCAUCUUUCUCUUUUUCUAUAUUCAGUUAGUGCAGCACUAUAGCUAUUUACUUCCCCUUUGCAAUUUUUGGGAAAGUGAGGAGGUCAAGAAAGAGUUGUAAGGCAAACUAUUGUAUAUUUCACUGCAUGGUCUGCCUUUCAUAGUUACAAUUAUGUCAAGACUAUACAUCACUAUGAAUAAUGUAUUAUGAACAAGUAUAAUAAUAUUUGUUAGACACAACCAUUUCUAGCAAUUAUUUUGUAAGUAGAAGAAGAUAAGCAGAUAUACAAGUAGUGCCUGUAUUGCUUAAAGCAAGAUUGUGGACUCUCCAUGGGAAGUGUCAAUGUUACUUGUUUUUAUAUCCUCCGAGCAAGAGAAAAUCCAGUGACUGAAAAAGAAUAAGAAGAAAAACACUGACCAAGGCAAUAAUUCCAAGAAGUCAAAAAUUAAGGCCUGAGAGGAAGAAGGCAGACUAAAGAAAGUAGGAAAGAUGCAAGGAGAAAGACAGCCAUCUGCAUACCAGGAAGAGGGCCCUCACCAGACACUGGAUCUGCUGCAGCCUUGAUCUUGGGCUUCCAACCUCUAGAACCAUGUGAAAUACAUUUCUGUUGUUUAAACCACCCCAUCUACAGUAUUUUGUUAGGGCAGCCCAAGCUGACUCAGAUAGCCUUAUUACACCUUAUUUUAGUAAUAAUAAUCAUUUCAUUAAUAAUAAUAUCCCUCAAAGUAGCUCCUCCCCUACCAGCACCACCCAUUCUUUCUCGUAUCUGAUGGCCAUGCUGAUUAUCUGGAAGCCAUUAUGUUGAAGGAGCAACAAUUUUAAACCUUGUAGAGUCCUGUGAUCUUGGCAUCUUCUCUCAAUCUGUAUGCUUAUUCAAUCUGCUCUGAUGAUAACAAUUCUCCUGAGGGGAAAAUUUAGGAAUUGUUUUAUUCAAAUUACUAAGUUUUUUUUUUUUUGCAUAACAGUUAAAGAAAAUAUUUGUGGGUGAUAGAAAAUGACUGAUUUUACCUUAAAACAAAGAUUAAAAUGAAGAUUAAAAAAAAGUUCCCUUGCCAUGAAGGGAACUGGAUGUUUUUUCCCAUAUAUAAUUAAAAACAGUGGGAUAAAGGGGUAAACACUAAGGAUGUAUAUUUAUCUCCUCUCCAUUUUAGAGAAAUGCACUGGGUGAUGUAGACAAACAAUUUGCCUAAUACUGUUACUGAACCUGGUGGGCUGGGCCUGGCCAAAGUCAGCUUUUCCUCUUCUCUCUGGAUCAAAUUAUGGUUAUGUAGCUGACAUUCAAUAAACCCCAAACACAGGCCACGUGCCAGGAGCACUCAGGUUACAAGACACGACCUCCAUCUUCAAGACGAGGAGGUAGAAUUGCUGGGUCCCUGAGACUGGGGCUUAGUCUGUCUCAUUCACUCUUUCAUCUCCAGUGCCUACCACAGCACCUUGUCCAGGGUACAAAUUUUAAUAACAAUUUAUCAAAUGAAUAAGUGGAUUCUGUCAUAGUAUAGCAGUGAUAUUCUGGAAGCUUAACCAAAUUAAUAAAUUAUGUGGCCUGACAUGCUGGUGUGUGCCUGUAGUCUCAGCUAUGUGGGAGGCUAGGUGGGAGGAUGGCUUGAAUUCAGAAAUUUGAGUGUUCAGCCUGGGCAAUAUAUUGAGAUGACCUCACUUCUGAAACAAAACAAAAUAAAAUAAAACACUAAAAACAAUAAAGCGAAACACAAAUAAAUUAUGAAGUGAGUAUAAUUAGUUUUACCAGUGUUGGAAUGUGAGGCGAGGAGGUUUCUAAGCGUGACUCCAUGGAGCAGGUGAAUUGGGGUUUUGAAGGUUGAGUACAAGUUUUUCAGAUGAAGUAGAAAGGGGCAUUUCAGUGGUUGUUGAGACCAGUGGCAGGUAGACCAGUUAAGGAGCUAGUCUAGUAACCAAAGCAAGUGAGGGUGGAGACCUGGCUGAGGGUAGUGUCAGUGGGAUUGGAGGAGGAAGAGAUUGGGAAUUUAUAUGAGAAAAUCAAAUAAAUGCCACUUUGAUGCUGACUGAUAUGCACAACUGGGUCACUGAGGAGUCAGGGAAGGCUCUGAGGCAUCCUGGGAGGGAGGGCACUGCAUCAGUUCUGUACUUUCUUCAACUCCACCUAAUUUUUCUCUCCCAACUAGGACAAAAGCUUGUUAAGAGGAACUUGACUCUUUGUUCCCUGCUGAGUCUUCGGUGCCCAGAACAGAUCUUGGCACAUGGACAUUCAACUUCUGCAGACUGGAUGAUUUAGAUGUUGCAAAUGCCAUCUUCAAGGAUGCCCAUACUUCCUGGAUUCUAACUACCUUGAUAAAGUCUCAUUGCUUUGUUUUUCUUCUGUAUUUCAGUAUGGAGACCUUCUAUGUCCAGACUUAAUCAAUUUUCUGUACUUGUCCAUUCUGCUUCUGCUGGUGUUUUGCAGUAAGCCAGAGGUAAGCAGGAUAUUGUGGACUGUAGGAAGAGGUUAAACAGGUAACUCUGAUUAGACUUUCACAAUGGGGUCCCUAUAUUGCAUUUACAUCGCCAUGGAAAGGGCCUUUUAUCAUAAUAAUUCUAAUAAUAACUGGUAUUUAUUUAGCACCUAGUACGUAGUAGGAACUCUGCUUAGCACUUUAUAUAAAUUAUUUCAUUUAAUCUUUCUAACAACCCUGUAUUAUUUAAUCUUUACAACAACUAACUAUGGUUUUUAUUUCCAAUUUGUAGAUGAGAAAAUUGAUGCUCAGAGGUGUUGUGCAACUUAGAAAUGUACUGCAGCUAGGAAGCCACCUGCUGGUUUCUCAUUACAGCUAAGGUGCCAGAGCUAAGGAAUAACACAUGCCUGUAACAUGAGCACUUUGGGAGGCCAAGGCGGAUGGAUCACCUGAGGUCAGGAGUUCGAGACUAGCCUGGCCAACAUGGUGAAAUCCCGUCUCUACUAAACAUACAAAAAUUAGCUGGGCAUGGUGGCAGAUGCCUGUAAUCUCAGCUAUUAGGAAGGCUGAGGCAGGAGAAUUGCUUGCACCUGGGAGGCGGAGGUUGCAGUGAGCCGAGAUGGUACCAUUGCACUCCAGCUGGGCGACAGAGCGAGACACCAUCUC